rnacentral:sRNA from 1 species
AACCUGCUCUGGUUCCCUUCCAUGCUGUGGAAGCUUUGUUCUUUUGGUCUUCACGAUAAAUCUUGCUGCUGCUCACUCGUUGGGUCCGUGCUGCCUUUAAGAGCUGUAACACUCACCGAGAAGGUCUGCAACUUCACUCCUGGGGCCAGCAAGACCACGAAUCCACCGAGAGGAAUGAACAAUUCUGGACACACCAUCUUUAAGAACCGUAAUACUCACCGCAAGGGUCUGCAACUUCAUUCUUGAAGUCAGUGAGGCCAAAAACCCACCAAUUCUGGACGCAUUUUGGUGACCUUGAAGAGACUAUCACCUAUCACGAAGUGGUGAGAAUAUUGCCAAGCAGUGAGACUAUCACCAAGUGGUGAGACCAUCACCAAGCGGUGAGACUAUCACCUAUCGCCAAGUGGCCUGAUUCAGCAGGAAGCAUCUCAGACACCAACCACUAUGCUGUCAGCAGUGGCCCGGGGCUACUGGGGCUGGUUUCAUCCCUGUGCUAGGCUUUCUGUGAGGAUGAGCAGCACUGGGAUAGACGGAAAGGGCGUCCUGGCUAACCGGGUAGCCGUGGUCACGGGGUCCACCAGUGGGAUUGGCUUUGCCAUCGCCCGACGUCUGGCCCAGGACGGGGCCCACGUGGUCAUCAGCAGCCGGAAGCAGCAGAACGUGGACUGGGCCAUGGCCAAGCUGCAGGGGGAGGGGCUGAGCGUGGCGGGCAUUGUGUGCCACGUGGGGAAGGCUGAGGACCGGGAGCAGCUGGUGGCCAAGGCCCUGGAGCACUGUGGGGGCGUCGACUUCCUGGUGUGCAGUGCAGGGGUCAACCCUCUGGUGGGGAGCACUCUGGGGACCAGUGAGCAGAUCUGGGACAAGGGACCUCAGGGUGGUAUCCACUUCUGACAUCUGGACCACUUCUUGCAGUCAUUGGGGGUCAUCCCCCACACUGGUAACCUGUCAUCAAAUGGGCCACAGCAACAUUCAGCUUAAGUAUUUCUCCUUCCCACAUCCAAGGGAUUGAGUGGGCGUGAGAUUGGGGGGUGGAAAAAACAGUGAACAGUCCUGGUGAGUUGCAGAUGUGGUCUCAUUCCCUAGAGAUGCAGGAUGCAGCUGACCUGAAUCAGGACAGAUCCCUGCAGGAGGGACUCCUGGUGCCAUGUCAGUCCCACCUGGCACUGCCCUAGCUCCCAGGCUCCGCCUCUGCAUCUUUCCUUGCUACUUCCUCUUUCACUUCUCCCCUGUUCCCAGACCCACCAGACAGAGCUUCCAGAGUGUCAGGACAUGUGUGACUUAGCCCAGAUUCAGACUUUAGUCACAAGCAGGAUCAGCAUAGACAUCUAGCUCCCAGCAUGGCAAUUCUCUGUUGUGUCUCCCUGUUUGUAUUGGCUGCAGGAAAGCUCAGAGCCAAGUCUGCGAUAAGCUGGUGUGUGUAGGCCCUUACAGCCUGCAUUUUUAUGACCAAAUAAUAGAAUAAAUGCUCAGUCCUUAUCACAUGCUGUGAACUGUAGGCACCAACCUCACUCUAGCUUUUUCUUAUUUUUCUACACUGAUUUUUCCUUUUCUCCAUUUCUUCACACAUAGUACCUAUUUGAUUUAUUUUAUGCUGUUGCACUGUGAGUAUGCCUUAAAUUCUAUGGGGACAAGGUAAGAGGACAAGCAAAUGAAAGCUCAGAGAGACAAAAAAGGCUCUUCCAGAAAUCUCCCUUGCUUCUAGCACCUGCUUCCCCUCCAUCAGGCUGUCUUCAGUCUUUCUCCAGAGGCCUCUGCUUACAGUGUGUUGUUGUUUUCUUUUUAAGAGACAGGGUCUCACUCUGUCACCCAGGCUGGAGUGCAGUGGCAUGAUCAUGGCACACUGCAGCUUCAAACUCCUGGGCUUAAGGGAUCCUCCUGCCUCAGCCUCCUGAGUAGCUAGGAUUAUAGGUGUGCACCACCACACCAGGCCAAUUAUUUAAAAAUCUUGUAGAGACAAGGUCUCACUAUGUUGCUCAGGCUGGUCUUGAACUUUUGGCCUUGAGUAAUCCUCCCACCUUGGCCUCCUAAAGUGCUGAGAUUACAGGCAUGACCCACUGCCCCCAAUCCCCAUUUUCUUUAAACGUCCUGAACAUUUCCUUCCUCGUGUCAGUCCUGAACAAUUCACAUUUUCAGGGCUCUGCUCACAGGCCUGUGACUUAGCCUGCCUGCCUAUGAAACCAUUAGCAAAUUGGAAAUACCUCUUGCACCGGUCAGAAGGGGGAUUGGUUUCUCUUAUAUGCACAUAAAUUGGGUCUACUGCACAAAUUACAGGGCUCCAAGUGUCUUAUGAGAGCGGGACUUGGGCUGACCAUGUCUCUCUGCCCUCACCCAUGCUCUGCUCUGAUUUCAGAUCCUAAGUGUGAACGUGAAGUCCCCAGCCCUGCUGCUGAGCCAGUUGCUGCCCUACAUGGAGAACAGGAGGGGUGCUGUCAUCCUGGUCUCUUCCAUUGCAGCUUAUAAUCCAGUAGUGGCGCUGGGUGUCUACAAUGUCAGCAAGACAGCGCUGCUGGGUCUCACUAGAACACUGGCAUUGGAGCUGGCCCCCAAGGACAUCCGGGUAAACUGCGUGGUUCCAGGAAUUAUCAAAACUGACUUCAGCAAAGUGUUUUAUGGGAAUGAGCCUCUCUGGAAGAACUUCAAGGAACAUCAUCAGCUGCAGAGGAUUGGGGAGUCAGAGGACUGUGCAGGAAUCGUGUCCUUCCUGUGCUCUCCAGAUGCCAGCUACAUCAACGGGGAGAACGUUGCGGUGGCAGGCUACUCCACUCGGCUCUGAGAGGAGUGGGGGCGGCUGCGUAGCUGUGGUCUCAGGCCCAGGAGCCUGAGAGGGUGUCUAGGUGAUCAUUUGGAUCUGGAGGCAGAGUCUGCCAUUCUGCCAGACUAGCAAUUUGGGGGCUUACUCAUGCUAGGCUUGAGGAAGAAGAAAAACGCUUCAGUAUUCUCCUUAGGACUUAUCUGCUUGUAGAUUUGGCUGAUCCAAUUAACAUGUGGGGUUCUUGGUGUGGGUCUGGGGAGCUGAAGGAUUUUAUGGAGCUGGUGCUUUGGAGGAAUCUUAAGGGAAAGGAGUAGAAGCUCAGGCCUUUGAAGGAUUUCAGCUCCUCCUCUCUGUAAUUUGUGCUUUAAGCAUUUUUUUCCUAAAAUAAACUCAAAUUUAUCCUC